rnacentral:rRNA from 1 species
AGGAUGAACGCUGGCGGCGUGCUUAACACAUGCAAGUCGAACGAUGAAGGCUGGAGCUUGCUCUGGCUGGAUUAGUGGCGAACGGGUGAGUAACACGUGAGUAACCUGCCCCAGACUCUGGGAUAAGCGCUGGAAACGGCGUCUAAUACCGGAUACGAGCUUCCACCGCAUGGUGAGGAGCUGGAAAGAAUUUCGGUCUGGGAUGGACUCGCGGCCUAUCAGCUUGUUGGUGAGGUAAUGGCUCACCAAGGCGACGACGGGUAGCCGGCCUGAGAGGGUCACCGGCCAACGACUGGGACU